GCCCUAGUAGCUCAGUACC
rnacentral:tRNA from 1 species